UACGAAGGGGGCUAGCGUUGUUCGGAAUUACUGGGCGUAAAGCGCACGUAGGCGGCUUUGUAAGUUAGAGGUGAAAGCCCGGGGCUCAACUCCGGAAUUGCCUUUAAGACUGCAUCGCUAGAAUUUGUGGAGAGGUAAGUGGAAUUCCGAGUGUAGAGGUGAAAUCCGUAGAUAUUCGGAAGAACACCAGUGGCGAAGGCGACUUACUGGACACAU
rnacentral:rRNA from 1 species